rnacentral:tRNA from 1 species
GCUGGGGUGACAGAGUGGCUAAUGUGACCGCCUGCAGAGCGGUUUUGCGUGGGUUCGAAUCCCACCCCCAGCU